rnacentral:rRNA from 1 species
CAGUGAAAGCGUGGGGCUCGCACGGCAUAAAGCCGCUGCGAGCCGCUAAGGGAGGACGGCCGGUCGUUCCCGAACGGUGCGGCCGGCCAGCACUCCCGGGGCGCCUCGGCUUCGGCCGCAGGCGCACCCGGAGCGCACACGUUGGGACCCGAAAGAUGGUGAACUAUGCCCGGCCAGGACGAAGUCAGGGGAAACCCUGAUGGAGGUCCGCAGCGAUUCUGACGUGCAAAUCGAUCGUCAGAGCUAGGUAUAGGGGCGAAAGACUAAUCGAACCAUCUAGUAGCUGGUUCCCUCCGAAGUUUCCCUCAGGAUAGCUGGCGCCGAGUUGGAGUGGGACAGUCUCAUCCGGUAAAGCGAAUGAUUAGAGGCCUUGGGGCCGAAACGACCUCAACCUAUUCUCAAACUUUAAAUGGGUGA